rnacentral:misc_RNA from 1 species
GGAGUAAAAGUCGUAACAAGGUCUCCGUUGGUGAACCAGCGGAGGGAUCAUUACCGAGUUAUCAACUCCCAAACCCCUGUGAACAUACCCAACGUUGCUUCGGCGGGACCGCCCCGGCGCCCUCGGCGUCCCGGAACCAGGCGCCCGCCGGAGGACCCAAACUCUUGUUUAAACCAUAGUGGCAUAUUCUGAGUCUCACAAGAAAAAUGAAUCAAAACUUUCAACAACGGAUCUCUUGGCUCUG